UACGUAGGGGGCAAGCGUUGUCCGGAAUCAUUGGGCGUAAAGAGCGCGUAGGCGGUCCGGUAAGUCGGUUGUGAAAACUGGGGGCUCAACCCUCAGAGGCCGACCGAUACUGCCGGGCUAGAGUCCGGAAGAGGCGAGUGGAAUUCCUGGUGUAGCGGUGAAAUGCGCAGAUAUCAGGAGGAACACCAAUGGCGAAGGCAGCUCGCUGGGACGGUACUGACGCUGAGGCGCGAAAGCGUGGGUAGCAAACAGG
rnacentral:rRNA from 1 species